AAUAUGGAAACUUUGUUCCCACGUGUCAUUUAUGCUCAUGUUGCUUUAUUAUUAUUUGCAUUGAAUUUUUUUCUUUGGGUCUGGCAGCACAUACAUAUAUGAGGCAUACUUUUUAGUUAUUGUUAAUUCGGCUGGCACUUCAGUAGUUUUGCAAUUUAUAAAUGUAAUUUAAAUUGUUAAUUGAUAGUAUAUAUAAAUAGAAAGUAUUUGAAACGUGUGUGUAUGGUACACAGUUGUAAUAAUGAUUAAAAUAAACGUGAUAAGUGCACUUAUAUCAAAAUUUGGUGAAGAUAAAAUACAAAUUUUACAAACAAAUAGCUUAAAAACUUGUAUUAAUUAAAUAGUAUUGGUGCCAGUUUUAGCAAAAUAGACAGUAAACCAAGAUUUCCUGUGAGUUUCAUUGGAAAAUCCUUAAUAUUCUUCACGAAAAAAAACAGAACGGGACAUCUUAUGGAGUCGUAGCCAUAUACUUGAACUAUAUUUUCAUCAACAUAGCGUCCGCCGUAGUCGGACGCGAUAGUGCAGGUUAUUGAACGAUCAAGUGAAAAAAAAAGGUAUUUGAUAUUUGAUUUUAUGAAUAAGUGUAAUAAUGCGUAUAGCACUUAACACACGAGAAAAUUAUCAACCGCACGAGCACUUUGGGAACGAGUCCGAACGAAGCGAGUGUUAGUCGAUGACUGUCAGCUAAUUAUAAAGUGGUGUAUUAUACGUCAGAUUAACCUUCACCACUCAAAGGUUGCGUCCGCCAACCUCAUAAUCCACCUGGCCAAAGGUGGACAUCAUAUUGUCCUGAUUCAAGAACCAUGGGUAUCACAUGGACUUGUGUGCGGACUAAGGACUAAAAAAUAUAAACUGAUGUAUGCUCGCAAGAAAGCGACACCGAUCAAUUGACCAUUAGCCUGGAGUCGGGAAAUGAACGGAUGUGGCUAUCUUCCUGUUACCUCGCACAUGACCACGAGGAGCUACCGAGAUCAAUAUUCAAAGAUCUGGUAGCGCAGGCGCAGAAGCUUGGCGCAAAGCUAAUCAUUGGUGCGGAUGUAAAUGCGCAUCACGAGAUAUGGGGCAGCACUGAUACUAACGCUAGAGGCAUCCGCCAACACCAUACUGUUGUCAGUCCAAUUUUCUUAUUCGCCUUUAAAAUUGGAAAGUGAUUAUAUGGAUAAAUGCAUUUGCAUUUAAUUUUAAUGAAAAUAAUUCGAAUAUAAGGAUAUAAAUAAGUCAAAACACGCGUGGGAGUGUAUAUUUAGUGAUGUGUAAAAAAAUAUAUAUUGUAAUCUGCCAAUCUAUAGUGAAGUUCCCGAGGACACUUUGAAGGCAAAUAAUUACGAAAAUAUUGACCCUUAUUAUGAGCAACAUUCGAUCUUCGACUGUAGUCGAAAGUGCUGAUCGAACGGAUUUUCAUUUGGUAUUAUGGUGCUCAUUCGCUAAUGAAUAGGACUAUUGUGAAUUUCGAUCGCUCGACGCAUUUACAAUAGAUAAUUUUUUCUCAGCUGAUACAGCAAAUCAAAAUAAAAGAAAAGGCGGUUGUAUUGAAAAUCUUUAACAACAUUUUUAAAAGUCAAAAAAAUUAUUUUUCGUGAAAGGGCAUACAAUAAACAACAUGCUAAAGCGAGAAGUACCAUUGAGAGAACAAUUGCAGUCUUGAAAACCCGAUUUAGAUGUUUGUUGCAGGCAAGAGCUCUCCACUAUUCUCCAAACAAAGCAACACAAAUUAUUAAUGUGUGCGCAGCUUUGCACAACAGUUGUCUGCUUUACAAAGUUCAAUUUCCGGAUGAAGAGUUAUCCGAUGAGACCCUCAACGAUGAUGCUGGAGAUAUUGAAGUGGAGUCAAAUAAUGGAGAAGCAGAAAACAUAAGAAAUGAAAUUCUUAGAAUAUUAUGGAAAAAACUAAAAAGUAUUACAUAAAAACCUUUACGCCCUAGUUUCUUUUUUAUUUUUGUUAUAAAUUUUCUUUAUUCAAAUUUCGUCAUUCGUCAGCCCAUACCUGCCAAGGGAAAAUAAACAUGUAUUUCUACAAACAUCACAAAAAAAAAACCAUUAAUAACCUUAAUCCAUUUUGCUGCCGUUCUAACAGGUGGUUCCAAUCAAUUCAGCUCCGUUGUAAGCUCCUCCCAUUUUUUUCUGCGUGAACUUUUGUGCAAAUUCCUUUUGCGAAUUGUGGAUUAUCUUCCAUUAAUGCAACCAGCCUUUCUAAUUGGUAUUUGGUACUCAUGACUUUCGACCUGCAUAAAAUUAACAAAAUUAGUAUAUGCUUAUUAUUUGGUUAUUAUAAAACAAUAAAUAAUCGCAAACAAUUUUACUUACAUUUUAACAAAUUUUCCCACAAUUCACUACACAAUCGAAAGCAAAAUUGCAUUCGACUCUAAAUUCGGUAUACAACGAAAAUUUCGACAGAGUUGCACCGCUCAUAAUACCAAAUUGACAUUCGAUUUUCGAUCUUCGACAACCAUCGAAUAUCGAAGAUCGAAUCCAACUCAUAAUAGGGGCCAUUAUUUCCCGAAUAAUUUGGAGUUAUAAAGAGUGUUCCUUAACACCUCAGUAACCGAAGGCCGCCCACGCGGAAAGGAGUUCUACGCAAAAAUACCGUGGAUUGCGUAGCCGGAGUUGGACUGAUGAGGGUUAUUUUUUUGAAGCGCGGCCCAUGCGAAAAAGAUUUAUACGCAAAAAUACUGUGGAUUGCGUAGCCGGAGAGUAAGAGAGAGGGUUAUUUUUUUGAAGCGCGACCGAAGGCCGCUUGCGCGAAAAGCAAUUCUGCGCAAAAAUACCGUGGAUUGCGUAACCGGAGUUGAACUGAUGAGGGUUAUUUUUUUGAAGCGCGGCCGAACGCCGCCCAUGCGAAAAAAAGUUCUAUGCUUGAGGACCCUUUUGUAAAACUGAUCGAAGCAAUACAAUACACUUAUAUAAUGUAAUUUUUGGCUUUCAAUUACUUUAUUAUUUUUUGUGAUACGCUUAAUAUCAUUGCUUUUAAGUUUAAAUGAGUUGUAUGUUUUUAUUUUCAAAAAAAAUUUCUCAAUUUUAAAUUACAGCAAAAAACACUGCAGUUUUACAAUGAACCUUCCACUGAACAUCCCUGCGUACGAACUUCGUUUUUAUUUCAGGUGUAUGGCAACACCAACUUUUUUAAAUUACAGAACUUUAACAUUAAAUUACUUAAAAACUACAAGCCUCCGGCAGGUGCGGUUUUCAGUUUUGAGAUGGGGUAAACCCCUCUAUCGCCCCCUUUUAACCUUUUUUUUUCACAGCGACAGACAUUAUACUAAAUAUUUCCCGUUAUAAAGAUUGUUCCUUAAGGGGUUAUACGCAGUUAUGAAGCAAAUAAAAGACGGGUUGUCAAGGAUUUAUCCUCAAGAAACUUCAGAAUAUUUUAAUUUGAAAAUUUUUGGCGGUUAUAAAAGCAUCCAUCAAGAACGUAACAAAUUUUUUUAUUUAUGAAAAUGUUGAUUAUAGAGCGCGCUGCAGGCGAUUUCUGGAACCUCCUUAAAAAAAAGACGAUUUACGGUGUACAUCGUAACUCAGGAUUGGAUUAUCUGAAAUUAAAAAAACAAACAAAUUUUGUUAAUAUUUUAGACUAGCAUCACCCAGUGGGCUUCGCACCACCAUACAUAAAAUGUUUGUUUUAUAUCGCAAGAAAUUUUUCAUAUUAAGUUUUCUUUAUAGAACUCGUAAAAUGUUUAAACAGUUGAAUUAGUUGAUUUUUUUCAUUCAACAUACUUUCUAAAGAUGUCACAAUAGCCUUUUCUGUACUUUUUUAAAAUUUGAUUGUGGUGGUCACCUAUAUACAGGUAAGGUACCGGUUCAAACACAUCUUAGGGUUAUCCAGGUCCACGUUUUGGUCUAUAUCUCGAGACCCUAGUUACGGAGGGGCAUUAAAAAUACUCUAUACUAUAGAAUCAUCAGCAGCUUCCAUUUGCUACCCAUAUUGUACAAACACAUCCUAGGGUUACCCGGGUCCACGUUUUGGAUUAUAUCUCGAGACCCUAGUCACGGAACGGUAUGAAAAAUACUCUAUACUAUAGAAAUCAUCAACAGCUUCCAUUUGCUACCCAUAUUGUACGAACACAUCCUUAAGUUAUCGGGGUCCACAUUUUGGGCGAUAUCUCGAGACCCUAGCCACGGAGCGGCAUCAAAAAUACUCUAUACUAUAGAAUCAGGAGCAGCUUCCAUUUGCUACCCAUAUUGUACAAACACAUCCUAGGGUUACCCGGGUCCACGUUUUGGAUUAUAUCUCGAGACCCUAGUCACGGAACGGUAUAAAAAUACUCUAUACUAUAGAAAUCAUCCACAGCUCCCAUUUGCUACCCAUAUUGUACGAACGCAUCCUUAAGUUAUCGGGGUCCACAUUUUGGGCGAUAUCUCGAGACCCUAGCCACGGAGCGGCAUCAAAAAUACUCUAUACUAUAGAAUCAUCAGCAGCUUCCAUUUGCUACCCAUAUUGUACAAACACAUCCUAGGGUUACCCGGGUUCACGUUUUGGCCUAUUUCUCGAGACCCUGGUAUCCGAUUCUUAAAAUUUUAAAACACAAACCAUCUACUGAAUAGUCCAAACAAAGCCUAAAAAUUUGGUUUGGAUAAGUGAGCCCGUUCGCGAGUUUUAAGCGAAUAUAGGGACAGAUUUUCACAUUUAUAUACAUACUAGCAAACCCGGCCCGCUUCGCUGGGCACACUAAAAUAGAAUAGAUAUGGUUUAGAACAGAAAAGAUAUGGUUUUCAUAUUAUUUAUUUCUUUAUUCUCAUACUAUUUAUUUAUUUAUUCAAUACCACGUUUUGGUCUCUAUCUCGAGACCCUAGUCACGGAGCGGCAUGAAAAAUACUCUGAACUAAAGCAUUCACCAACAGCUUCAAUUUGACAUCCAUAUUGUACAAACACAUUCUAGGCUCCAUGUUUUGGUCUCUAUCUCGAGACCCUAGUCACGGAGCGGCAUGGAAAAUACUCUGAACUAAAGCAUUCACUAACAGCUUCCAUUUGAUACCCAUAUUGUACAUACACAUAUGAAGGUUACCCGGGUCCACGUUUUGACCUAUAUCUCGAGACCCUAGUCACGGAGCGGCAUGAAAAAUACACUGCACUAAAGCAUUCACCAACAGCUUCCAAUUGAUAUCCAUAUUGUACAAACACAUUCUAGGGUCCACGUGUUGGUCUCUAUCUCGAAACCCUAGUCACGGAGCGGCAUGAAAAAUACUCUGAACUAAAGCAUUCACCAACAGCUUCCAUUUGAUACCCAUAUUGUAUAUACACAUCCGAAGGUUACCCGGGUCCACGUUUUGACCUAUAUCUCGAGACCCCAGUCACGGAGCGGCAUGAGAAAUACUCUGUACUAAAGCAUUCACCAACAGCUUCCAAUUGAUAUCCAUAUUGUACAAACACAUUCUAGGGUCCACGUGUUGGUCUCUAUCUCGGGACCCUAGUCACGGAGCGGCAUGAAAAAUACUCUGAACUAAAGCAUUCACCAACAGCUUCCAUUUGAUACCCAUAUUGUAUAUACACAUCCGAAGGUUACCCGGGCCCACGUUUUGACCUAUAUCUCGAGACCCCAGUCACGGAGCGGCAUGAAAAAUACUCUGUACUAAAGCAUUCACCAACAGCUUCAAUUUGAUAUUCAUAUUGUACAAACACAUUCUAGGGUCCACGUUUUGGUCUCUAUCUCGAGACCCUAGUCACGGAGCGGCAUGAAAAAUACUCUGAACUAAAGCAUUCACCAACAGCUUUCAUUUGAUACCCAUGUUGUAUAUACACAUCUGAAGGUUACCCGGGUCCACGUUUUGACCAUUUUCCCGGCAAUUAUUCGAAUUUUUCUCACCUUUUAAACCUUCCCUAGACCUCCACGAAUAAUUCAAGACCAAGAUAAGAUAAAUCCGUUCAGCCAUUCUCGAGUUAUAAGCGAACAUAGGGACAGAUUUUCACAUUUAUAUAUAUAGAUAUAGAUAAAAAAAAAAAAAAAAAAAUUUUUCAUUCGAAUCAUUUGAAAUUUC